CACGAGGUUUUAGUUUCUUUUACAUCUCUGGAGCAAAGACCAUUUUCCAUCGCAGUCAUUUGAAACCCUUCUGUCGUUGCUGAAGUGCCUUCCAUCAGCUACAGCACAGGAGGAUUAAACCCAAUUUAUCAGCACAGCCCAUCACAGACAGAGGAAAACAAGUUUUACACGGCAUAAGCAGCAGGGAAGCAAUCAGAUCCUCGUUUCCAGUGCAAGACUUAAUGCAACGGUGCCAUUUCUGUAACCUUUGGGACUUCCAUAAUAAAGGAAACACAAACAAUGGAAGAU